GUUUAUGUACAUGCCUACAUCGUUAAUGUAGAAAAUCCCAUUAGAACUUCAUAGUUAAGCACGCUUGGUCUAGAGUAGUACUGGGAUGUGUGACCUCCCGAGAAUUCCUAGUGUUUUACAUGCC
rnacentral:rRNA from 1 species